rnacentral:tRNA from 1 species
GCGUUGUCUGCCGGAUCUCGUUCGUGGCGCCGAUGGUUGCUGGCGGACGCGGGGGCGAAGUGAAAAGGAGCGAGUGCCAUUCCCGCGCAAUGUC